rfam:Candidatus Azambacteria bacterium RIFCSPHIGHO2_01_FTLL_40_24 rifcsphigho2_01_scaffold_5827, whole genome shotgun sequence.
CCCCUCAUCGUUCAAUGGACAGGACGCGAGAUUCCGGAUCUCGCGAUGUAGGUUCGAUUCCUACUGAGGGGA